GAAUUUUGUGCAGUUCCAGGAACCUGGGGAGGGAUAGAUGGUGGUGGUAGUGGUGGUGGUUGUUGAUGCUGCAGCACCACCACCAUGGAGGGCUCUGACAACGUUAAAGGAGGGUUAGUGGAAAGUGGAGCAGGUGCUUGAGGCACUGCUGAUGGUGGCUGCAGCUGUAGUGGUGGUUGUGGAGGAGGAGGUGCACUGCCACGAAGUAAAAGGUCAAGCCGUGGAUACAAAGGCCAAGAAGAUCCAUCAGCAGUAGCAGACUCUGAUCGAUACCUCUUCUUCAUGGACUCGAUCUUGUUCUUGCACUGAGUUUGGGUCUUUGGAGACUUGGU
rnacentral:lncRNA from 1 species